rnacentral:rRNA from 1 species
UUCCGGUUGAUCCCGCCGGAGGUCACUGCUAUUGGGAUUCGACUAAGCCAUGCGAGUCGAGAGGGUUCGGCCCUCGGCUGACGGCUCAGUAACACGUGGAUAAUCUGCCUUUAGGUGGAGGAUACCCUCGGGAAACUGAGAAUAAUACUCCAUAGGUCUAGGAUGCUGGAAUGCAUCUAGACUCAAAGCUCCGGCGCCUAAGGAUGAGUCUGCGGACUAUCAGGUUGUAGUCAGGGUAAUGACCUGACUAGCCUACGACGGAUACGGGUUGUGAGAGCAAUAACCCGGAGAUGAUAUCUGAGACACGAUAUCAGGCCCUACGGGGCGCAGCAGGCGCGAAAACUUCACACUGUGCGAAAGCACGAUGAGGGAAUCCCAAGUGCUUGCACUUAGGUGUAAGCUGUUUCUUUGUUUAAAACGCAUUGAGAGUAAGGGCUGGGUAAGACGGGUGCCAGCCGCCGCGGUAAUACCUGCAGCUCGAGUGGUGGCCACUAUUAUUGGGCCUAAAACGUCCGUAGCCGGUUUAGUAAAUGCCUGGGUAAAUCGUGUAGCUUAACUAUACGAAUUCCGGGUAGACUGCUAAACUUGAGACCGGGAGAAGUUAGAGGUACUCCUGGGGUAGAGGUGAAAUUCUGUAAUCCUAGGGGGACCACCAGUGGCGAAGGCGUCUGACUAGAACGGGUCUGACGGUGAGGGACGAAGCCCUGGGGCGCAAACCGGAUUAGAUACCCGGGUAGUCCAGGGUGUAAACGCUGCUUGCUUGAUGUUGGUUGGGCUCCGAGCCCAAUCAGUGUCGGAGAGAAGUUGUUAAGCAAGCUGCCUGGGAAGUACGGCCGCAAGACUGAAACUUAAAGGAAUUGGCGGGGGAGCACAGCAACGGGUGGAGCGUGCGGUUUAAUUGGAUUCAACGCCGGA